rnacentral:lncRNA from 1 species
CCCUCAAAUAGACACGCUGUUUGGUGCAAGACUACCUAUACGAUUCCCUCUCCGAGGGAAAAUUGUGCUUGAAUGAGCUUGUUCCCUCUAUAUUAAGAUUUCCAGUUUUCUUGAUUUUAACGCACGUUGGCUACAGUGGCGUGGCGUAAACGAUCGAUUAUCGAUAUCUCGCCAUUUGAAGGUAUGGUAAAUAAUCGAUUACUAAGGUGUUCGCUACGAACACCCUAAUAAUCGAUCUUUUUUAAUAGGUUUAAGUGGCGUAUCAAUCGAUAUAUCGCAAAGCACGCCACGCCACUGGUUGGCUACGUCUCCAUCUUACUGUGAAGUGCUGAAUCCCCAAAAGUGGCAAAAGUAAUAGUUUCUAUUCGUCGCCAAGAGGCCAGUGGAGGACCUCUCUUCGUCUCUAAGUUUAACUUACGAAACUAACCAAAACUCUCUGAUGGAGACAGGAACUGUGGCUUUCGCGAUGAAAUACUCCUCGAGGAUCACAUCGGAGCGCUACGACCGAAGCGAAACCCACUCAUCACUAAUUGUGCUCACCAUCCUGUCGGCCAUAGUAUCAAGUUUAGUCCUCUGGUCCUGCAUGCCCCUCUACGACUAUCUCUUCCUCAGCCUCGAGUCCCCCGGAAAGUCGCCCCGUUUUCCUUUCCCGUGGCUCUUCUACGGCCUGGACCCGCACCGGGAGUUUUGGAUCAUCUUCGCCCUUCAGUUCAUGCACGGACUCUUCUGCGUCCACACGGUGGCACUGGGCUUCGCUUUCCCGCCCGUCAUCUGCUCACUCCUCCAGGGACAGAUAGAGAUCCUCAAGGAGUCCUUGCCCAAAGCCCGGAACUCCGCAGGGGGGUUGAUAUUGCCGGUGUUCGAUUCGAAAAGGAAGAUCGAUGGAGUUGUGGAUGCUGGUGGAGAGGACAUGGAGGAUCGGGUUGAUUUGAGGGAUUGCAUUGUGCAUCAUCAAAUGAUUCUUAGGUUGCUGAGGAGAGCUAAAGCUAUAAUAACUCCAUUCUUGUUUAUUGGUGUCAUGUAUUUUCAAACGAUUUUGGCUAGUCUUGCCGUUGCCUCAGCCUCGAUUGACGAAAGACACUCAAUUUUAUUAGCUGCAGUCGAGACGGUAUUAUUUUCCACCAUACUUUUAGUUGAGGCUCUGUACAUAACUAAUCUGCGAGUUGCUUGUUCUGAAGUUGGAUUCCUGGCUUACUCGAUAUAUCUGAAAAACCAUAGGGCCGGAAAAGAUCUGCUGCUCGUUGUCUACAGGUCAAAUCGGCAAGAAAAAUUCUCGUGUCUUUUUACGUCCUCGUUUACUCCCAAAACAGUUUUUAAGAUUCUGAAUAUGGUUUGGAAUUUCUUCACGAUUGCCAAAGGGAUGGAGGAAAAACUUGCACGUGCUGGACAUUACUAGGAGCGGAAGCGACCCCAUCAAGCCUACAGAGAUCUCCAACAACCAAGAAUGGGAGCCGCUAGGAUCUUACACGAACCCGUUCAACUUUUGCGUUAUUUUGAGAUAUCUCCGCGAAAACUUAACAAAACUCAAAACCCUUUGCACUCUGGCUGGCAAACUUAAUUCCUCGCAUCACUGCGAGAAAAAAAGUUCGGUCGUAUAAACCGAAUGUUCGGUGUUCAAUAUCGGCCGUAUUGUUUGGUUCAUGCGACCGCUCUCUCGGUUCUGGGAACCGUAUCUUCGGUUCAUGCAACCGAGCAUUUAAACCAAACAGAACUAACGAACAAGCUCGGUUGCAUGAACCGAAGAUACGGUUCCCAAAACCGAGAGAGCGGUCGCAUGAACCAAACAAUACGGCCGAUAUUGAACACCGAACAUUCGGUUCAUACGACCGAACUUUUUUUCUCAGUGUACGGGCGAAAUUCGGAGGUGAUUCUUUAAGCAAGCAGUUAAUUAAUAAUCGCUAAUUAAUUGCCGUUUUUUUGGUCACAUUUUCAAAUCACCCGCGUGAUAUCACAUUCGUGCCUCGAAAUUUUGCCUUCAAUCGGCCAUCUGCAUUAAAUAUAAAUGUGCACCCAACAGUUAUGAAAAUCAAUGCAACUCAUUUCAAAUAGUUUAAACCAGUGCAAAGGCAUCAUUUCUUGAAUUAAGAGCGUACUUUCGAACUAUUGAAACUUAGGAUUGUCAAACGAUCCAAGUCGUAUCUCUUGAUCGAGUGAACAGCGGUGAACAGAAUGUAUCGUGAAUCAAGUGAUUCAAGUGAAUCCCGGCUGGUGAAUUCUGAAUCGCGACCCUCUUUUCCACGCUUGCAAAGAAACUGAGAUUAAACAUAGAUUUGCGUUAAUCACUCAUUUUCCGAUUUGUCUUUUUUUCUAAUAACAACUGGUUUCUAAGAAUUUUGAAUUCCUUGCCUUCGUGACUUCGUGCCGGGAAGCUAGCUGACGUCACAGUCAAUUCAAUCAAUCAAUGUUUGUCUGUUCGCUUUUAGGUUAUCGCGAGAUGUAAGCAUACCUACACAAACUAAACUAAUAAAUAAAUUAAUGUUGUUUUUUCGAAUUGCAAACUAAAUUAUUUUAAUGAAACUUCCCUUUAUUGUUCACUGCUAUCUCUAAAUUUUGUGUCUACCUUUAUUACCGUGCUACAAAUUCUGUGUAAAUUCCUCCAUCUAGGAUUCAUUUGUUAGCAAGCAAAUCUGUAAGUACCUAUGAAAAUAAGUAAAUUUUAAUACCCUUAUCAUCUAUCAUUUUAACUUAUGCUGGAAUGGGAUUGAAAACGGGGUGUUCGCAAUGAACAUCUUAAUAAUCGACUCUUCAUUAUAGCUUCAAAUGGGAAAAUAUCGAUUACUUAUCGAUCAUUCACGCCUCGUC